GUAGGGCCUGACUGAGUACAAAUAGCAGCUAUCUCAUGUAGUGGAUCCAGAAAGAAGGCUGAUCAUGGCCUGCUUGCUUCUUCUGAAAGCAGCAGUGGAUUCUAGGACCAAGAGAUGUCUGCUCCCUCAUUGUGAUGAAAUUUAGCCUCCAAGGAAUCAUCAUGUUCCCCACGGCUCCUCUUGCAGCUCUGAAAAUACUGCAGGAUCAUGUGUCAGUACUUUCAAUGCUCAUGACAAUACUGCAAAGCUGUGCAAGUGCCAUGCUUUGUCAGAGAUGGCGGACAGCAAGGAAGAAUGCAUGGGUUUGUGAGAUUUUGAAAAGAAGGCACAAAAAUGAUGGGAUGAAGAUGAAAUUAUGGGAUGGAGAACUCUACAUUACGGGAAGGUGAUCCCAUUCACCCUUGCGUGACUCAUUUUGUUCCCAUCAGGCACUGGAAAAACUUCCCAAAUGACCCUGCACUUGAUGAUGUGUUGUCGUGGACUGGCAAACUCCGCUUCGCUGGACGCAAAAGAAAGACUCCGUCACUCAGACCUAGUCCAAGCCUCACUCGUGGGCGGCAGAGAUCCCCUCACACGUUUAGACCAGUGUCAUCGUGCAGCAGUGGGGACGAGCAGCCUCAGCGGUGGCGUCUGAGACGACUGGUCGCAGCUGCCCAGUCUCACGCACCCUCGGGGCAGGAGGGUUUUGCUUUGUGCGUUUCAAAUGAGACGUUUAAAGAAUCUCCCGCAUUCACGGGCUCUCAUCAGCCUGGGACGUAGCCCCGGGCGGACUACAGCUCCCAGCGUGCACCGCUCAUCAGGCAUUACACCCUGGGACCUGUAGUCACCACAGCGAGCCGCACCCCUCUUCACCCUGAGCUCGGCUUCUCUCCACCGACUUCCCCUACGUUCU